rnacentral:sRNA from 1 species
CGUUCCCACCUUGAUGAUAAUGGAACCUCUGAACCGCUUUAGGCAGUCCCUUUGAAAGUUUCCUUCAACCACCAAAAGGGGGCUCGACCUGCAAGUUGAGAACCAUUUGAUGUACAUGAAUUUAUAUAAGAAAUCUAGCAUGGCUGUCAUCUGAGAGGCUCUACCAGCAGCUAACUGAGACAGAAGCAGAUACUUAGAGCCAGCCAUUGAACUGAGGUCAAGCACUCCUAUGGAAGAGUGAGGGGAAGAACUGAAGGAGGUAAAGGGGAUGACAACCCCAGAGGAAGAACAUUCCCUGGACCCCUGGGAGCUCACAGAGACUAAGCCACCCACCAACCAAAGCAUACAUGAGCUUCUCCAUCGUCAGUGGCACAUGCGUAGCAGAGGACUAACUUGUCUGGCCUCAGUGGGAGAGGGUGCACCUAUCCUGUAGAGACUUGAUGCUCCAGAGAACAGAGAUGUCUGGAGGAGAAGAUGGGGCGAGGUGGAUGGGUGUGAGUGUGUGGAAGAACAUUCAGACGCAAUGACUAGGGGAGUGUGGAUGGGGUGAAGCAUUCUGGGAAGGGAAACCUGGAGGGGGACAUUUGAAAUAUUAAUUAAUUAAUUAAUUAAUUAAUUAAUUAAUUAAAAAAGAAGUUUCCACUUAGUAA